rnacentral:rRNA from 1 species
CCCUUAGAUGUUCUGGGCCGCACGCGCGCUACACUGAUGCAUUCAACAAGUUCUACCUUGGCCGAGAGGCCUGGGAAAUCUUUCAAAGAUGUAUCGUGAUAGGGAUAGAUUAUUGCAAUUAUUAAUCUUGAACGAGGAAUUCCUAGUAAAUGCAGAUCAUCAUUCUGCGUUGAUUACGUCCCUGCCCUUUGUACACACCGCCCGUCGCACCUACCGAUUGAAUGAUCCGGUGAAGCCUCGGGAUUGUGCCCAGAGAACUUUAUUGUGAUUUGGGUGUGAGAACUUGUCUAAACCUUAUCAUUUAGAGGAAGGUGAAGUCGUAACA